UACGUAGGGACCAAGCGUUGUUCGGAUUUACUGGGCGUAAAGGGCGCGUAGGCGGCAAAUCAAGUCAUCUGUGAAAUCUCCGGGCUUAACUCGGAACGGUCAGAUGAUACUGCUUUGCUAGAGUGCGGAAGGGGCAAUCGGAAUUCUCGGUGUAGCGGUGAAAUGCGUAGAUAUCGUUUGGAACGCCAAUGGCGAAAACAGACGACUGGGAGUGUGCUGACGCUGAGACACGAAAGCCAGGGGAGCGAACGGG
rnacentral:rRNA from 1 species